CAAAAAACAAAACUCUUGCGAGAAGCGCUUCCGUCCGUAAAGGUGACCGACGAGAGGUUCCGUUUCUUGGCGAGUGAAGAGGCCUUGCAAGUAGACGACAAUGACUCUGGGGACCUUGGAGGAUGUGCUCAAGAGGCAGGAUCUGCUAGCCCCACCGACCUUGACACUGAUGCCCCUUCGGAGGUUAUGAGAGGUGCAGAGGGUCAAAACCUGCCUCAAGGCACCGGUGACACCCCUGCCCUUUCCAGUACACCUACAACCAGCUUCCCACAAGGUGGAGAGCAGACCACUGGUUCUCCUUCAACGCCUCAGCCUGGAC